UGCCCCUGUUCCUCAUGAAGUUUUGGUUUAGUUUUCAAAUCUUCCCUCCCUCGUCGCUCUACAGUUUACACUUUCAUACGCUCCAAUCAAUCCCCGGUACCUCUGGUAUCCAAGGAGCCAUCAAUCUUCGUCCACAAGGACCAGGCGACGGAGAUCCUCCAGAGUGCACACGCCGAACAAGAGAACUUUCCAGAAGCUUCACCCCGGGGCGACCCUCCCACCCACGUGCACCGCGCGAGCGCGCCGCCGCCAACGGUCUAGUCUGAUCAGGCUAUUCAACGGUCACAAGAAAUAUCAAUUUACAAAGAAAUUUACUGAGUGGUUCCCUCUGAGAUCCAUGCUCGGCAGUGACCAUCCAAAACUGAAGUCAGCGCUACAUAUGGGACAUCCGAGUGGCUGUGAGAGAAAGUGACAGCUUUUGGGGGUUUUAGACUUGAGUUGGAACAACUCCUGGAUCGGGAAUACUGGGCUGUGCUUCAGCCAGGUUAGGUCACCCUGCCUUACCUCUUAUAUAAGCAAAAU